UUCCUGGGACUAACCCCCAACGAAGGAGAGGU
rnacentral:piRNA from 1 species